rnacentral:tRNA from 1 species
GCCCCUGUAGCUCAAUAGGACAGAGCACCGGACUUCUAAUCCGAUGGUUAAGAGUUCAAAUCUCUUCAGGGGCG